AUUUCUCUGUCUUCAGUCUGUGGAGUUGCAGUAUUACAGAGAAACAGAGUCUCAUCCUGACUUCAGCUCUGAAAUCAAACCCGUCACACCUGAGAGAGCUGGACCUGAGCAGGAAUAAUCUAGGAAACUCAGGAGUGAAGCAGUUAUGUGCCGUACUGAAGGAUUCACACUGUAAACUGGAGAGAUUGAGUCUUCAGUACUGUGACAUUACAGAUGUUUCUUCUUUAACUCAGUCUUUGACGAACUCAAAAGCUCUGCAGUUUUUAAAAGAGCUUAAUCUGAGACUCAAUAAGAUCGGAGACUCAAAGCAGCGGCUCAGAGACGAACUACGAGACUCAAACUGUGUCCUGAGAGUAGAUGAAGAUUGAUCACCAAACGUCAGUGGAUUUCCAUCAAGGUUUAAAUCUGUGAGACGGAGAUGAGAGGAGCAGAAACCAUCAGGUGAUCCACAGAAGAGUCUCACUGCUGUCUAUGAGGAGAAAUACAUGUGUAAAUGUGUUUCAUACAGGUGGAAGAGACUCAGACUUCAGUAUUAAAUAAAGCAGCGUGUGUGUUAGCAUGCGUAUUAGAAACAUGUGAUAUUGAAUGAUUAAUGUUGGUUUAUUAUUCAGCCAAAUGAUGCUUUAGUUGUAAUUAAAGGUGGAACAGAGGAAGAAGCUCAGAUGAGUGUCAGCAGAAAUCUUCACUAUCAGGCCUGCAAAUAUAAUAA